rnacentral:lncRNA from 1 species
UUUUGCUCACCUGGCCUAAAAGGCCAUGUGAGCUUUUCUCAUCACUUGGCGUCCGUCGUCGUCGUCGUCUGUCGUCGUUAACAAUUUUUCAAACAUCUUCUCCUCUGAAACUACUGAAUAGAUUUGAAUGAAACUUAAACUGAUUGUUCCUUAGAUUAUCCUGCACAAAGUGUGUGCUUCGAUUUUUGAUCCGUCAAAAAACAUGGCCCGCCGUUACUUAAAAUAGAACAUAGGGUCAAAUGCAGUUUUUUGGCUUAUAUCUCAAAAACGGAAGCAUUUAGAGCAAAUCUGACAUGGGGUUAAAAUGUUCAUUAGGUCAAGAUCUAUCAGUCCUGAAAUUUUCAGAUGAAUCAAACAAAACCAUUGUUGGGUUGCUGCCACUUAAUUGGUAAUUUUAAGGAAAUUUUGCAGUUUUUGGUCAUUAUCUUGAAUAUUAUUAUAGAUAAAGAUAAACUGUAAACAGCAAAAAAUGAAUCAGCAAAGUAAGAUCUACAAAUAAGUUAAUAUGACCAAAAUUGUCAAUUGACCCCUUAAGGGGUUAUUGUCCUUUAAUGACAAUUUUUCACAAUUUGUUCAUCACAUUUGCUAACUUUAAAAAAUCUUCUCCUCUGAAACUACUGAAUGGAUUUGGAUGAAACUUAGCAUGAUUGUUCCUUAGAUUAUCCUGCACAAAGUGUGUGCUUCGAUUUUUGAUCCGUCAAAAAACAUGGCCGCCGUUACUUGAAAUAGAACAUAGGGG